rnacentral:tRNA from 1 species
GGGCCUCUAGCUCAACUGGCAGAGCAGCGGACUUUUAAUCCGCGGGUUCAGGGUUCGAGCCCCUGGGGGCCCACCA